rnacentral:tRNA from 1 species
GUAUGGCGAAAUUGGUAGACGCUGCGGACUUAAAU